rnacentral:rRNA from 1 species
UGGGGAAUUGUUCGCAAUGGGCGCAAGCCUGACGACGCAACGCCGCAUGGAGGACGAAGAUCUUCGGGUCGUAAACUCCUUUCGAUCGGGAAAAACGCCUGCGGGGCUAACAUCCUCGCAGGGUGAUGGUACCGAGAGAAGAAGCCCCGGCUAACUCUGUGCCAGCAGCCGCGGUAAUACAGGGGGGGCAAGCGUUGUUCGGAAUUACUGGGCGUAAAGGGCCAGUAGGCGGCCAACUAAGUCCGACGUGAAAUCCCCAGGCUUAACCUGGGAACUGCGUCGGAUACUGGAUGGCUUGAAUUCGGGAGAGGGAUGCAGAAUUCCAGGUGUAGCGGUGAAAUGCGUAGAUAUCUGGAGGAAUACCGGUGGCGAAGGCGGCAUCCUGGACCGAGAUUGACGCUGAAUGGCGAAAGCUAGGGGAGCAAACGG